rnacentral:lncRNA from 1 species
AUGAAAGUUUAAUCACUCUUUCUUCAUUUUCUCUUGCACCCAACAUGUUCACCAAUGCUCAGAGACAAGAAGAGUGCCUGGGAAAUAUGGAACUCCCAUAAUGAAAUAUUUUCAGGUAAAGCCAUGCCAUUGCACUCAAAUUACAUAAAUGUUUGUCCUUUUACUUCAAAUAUAUUUUGCACAAUUUAUGUAUCUGUUCAAUGGGAAAUCUUCUUUUGUUUUUUUAGAAUUAGUCUCUCAAUUUCAGGAUGCAUCUAAUGAAGGCAUGUAUUAUCAAACCUCAUUCAAGUAACUUUUUAUAACAUUUUUGAAUUGUUCUGCUUCAAUAUUUUCUUCUCAUUUUUGGUUUAGAGUAUAGGAGAACAUGGAUCUCUUAGUUUGGUAGUUUAGAAAGUUGUAUGGUAGGUUCAACUUGAUUAAUUAUGGACAUGAUGCUGCAAACCCUUGAUUUACUAUCAUUCUUUCAAUUUUUAAGAAUACUACGACAAGAGUUUGGUAGUCCAUUGCGAUUGCUUUAUGACGUGUAUUAUGGUCCAGUGUAUACCAACACAACUUUCAGUAAUUUGAAAUGCAUAACAAAUGCACCUAGAUGCUAGUUUAAUUUAAUUGCAAAGCACAAGUUGAAUGCAAAAUCUCUCCAUUAUUUGAUAUUGGAAUUCCCAGUUGUAUUAAUAACCCAGCUCAAUAAAAUUGGUUGCGUGGGAUUGACCAUGAAAACUUGUCAUUGAUAUGGAAGAUUUACUGUAAAUGAACUAGAAUCCAAGUGGAGAUGUUAGUUCACUCUCAUGAAUCGGGGUUGGGACGUAUAACUUAGAAAAAUACAGAGAACAUUUUUUGUUAAACACGAUCAAAUAUGAUGUUGUAGUAUUUUUUUAUGUGAUCCCUUGCUCUUUUGCAUUUAUUUUUUUUCUUUUUCAUGAUUCUUUGCUUUACUUUCUGUUUUCCAUUAUGAGGGUAUUCAAAAUCAAAUAGGUAAUCAGCGCUACAGCAGCUAAAGUGUAAUUUUCUCUUUUUUACUAUUAUAGAAUGCUUGGCUAUUUCAAUGUUGAUUAAUUCUUGUUCGUGCAGAAUCGAAAGAGAAGAUUGUUGCUAAUUUAGAAAAUUUUGCUUAUGAUCCUUUCAAUUACACCUUUUUACGCCAGGUUUAAAUAUUCACAUGGUGUUUAAGUUUCUUUAUCAUGAUUGCUUUCUUGUUCUGGACCUCAUUUAAUGGUUCUUUGUUCUUUAACAACCAAAUGUUUUAGAAUUUUUUUCUUGACUACAUGACAAAGCCUAACGAGAGGCUUGGAGCGUUUGGUAUUGGGCUACGAUUCCUGUGCUGGUAACAUCUUUAAAUCUUUGGUACUACGUUAUUAAAAAAAAAUUAAAAUAAGCAUAUCUUGGUUUACAAUUUUUUCAUACAUUUUGCAAUUGCAUAUCAAGUCUUGUAACGUUAUUUCAUGUUUGUGACCAUUGGUUUUCGUGGGUACAGAUCCAGCAAAUGCUGCAGCAUUUACUGGAGGAAUCUCUCUUGUCAUCCAAGGAUUCUCAAGUCUAGUUAGAAAUACUGUAAGGACAAAACUAGGCAUUUAUUAACCCCUUUUAUUAAAUCAGCUAUUUUUUACACAAGUCUGCAUUUGACACUUGUUUUCAUACCUUUUAUAAAUUUCUGAAAUGGAUCAUAGUGCAUGCAUGGUAAUCUGUUUUUCAAUUGACAAUAUGUUGUGUAUCAGCUUGCUAAAUGUUGGAUCUUUGCAUGAUGAAUUUGUUUUUAAGUUACAAAUUGAUACCUUGGCACUAUUUAUCAACAAAAUUUCUGUCGGUUGAGUUUACCGUAUAUUGGAAAUUUUAGGUUGUUUAUAGAGUUCAUUAAAUUUUAGCUAUCCUCUAUAGAUCAUCUUCACUUAAGAGGCUAUAAGCAUUCUCCAUGUAGUUCUGUACAUAUCUCAGUAGUGUAAAUCUUCAUUUUUAGAUAAGCAUGUCUUUAAGCUCAAUUGAAGGUCUCUGUGCGGCCCGAUCUCAUUGUAUUAUGUUUUAAAGAGAUUGCAGGUAUUGCAUACACAGAUAUGUCACUAUAUGCUUGCACACAUAGAAUUGUUAAUAUUCUGUUGUGAUACUCAACUGCAUUCAAGCAACCUAUCUUAAGAAAGGCCUUUAUUUUUGCUGCUUGUAAAUUUCAAAAUCAAUUCUCUAUUUUGCCCUAUGCAGGUAUUAUUUAGUUGUUGGUAUUUUGAAAUUAUUGAUUCUGAUGUUUAACUAUUGGAUAUGUUGAAUUCAACAAAAUGCAUCCUACCAUUUGAUUUGAUCUGACACAUUUCCUGCUAUGAUGAAAAGAACUCUCACGAGAGAGUUAGAUCCAUGCUAUAGAGUGCCAAGUUAUUAAAGCCAUUUUGGAAAGAUGUUCUGAAAAUAGAAGCCUAUAUAUGCUAUUCUUGUAUUAUUCUGCGGGAUCUCUUCCUUCACUUGCAGCCCCCCAAAUUCGGCAAUGACAGGAUAAGCUUGUUAGAAUGCGUGAAGGACGGGACCGAGGUAGGAAUCCCAAAUCUUUGAAGGUACACUUACGCAUUUUGCCUUUGAGCAUUUUUCUUGUUGCUAUUUACUUCAGUACCUCCAUCUUACAAGUUGAAAGGUCGAAUAUCAGAUGAAUGGUGAAUUUGAUGAUUCUCCAAAUCAAUUAUGCAGGCACGCAAAUAUUACUUUAAAAAUAACAAAACUCAUGCGUUGUACGGGCAAAGACUGAUAUAUUUAAGAGAGAGAGAUUAGAGUUUGAAUUAGGUUUAAAUAAUUUCUUUUUAAAAGUAAAUACAAAUUAUAAUUUGCAUGACAUAUUUACCUUGUCGUUUCAUUAUCUUUUCGGGCAAUUAUUUUCGCAC